GAAACGAGGCUUAUGUAAGGACAACAUCACCUGCCCAUUGGACACCCUGAUAGCAAUAGACUCCGGGGCGGAUCCGCCUUCAAGUCGCCUGGUCCGCUGUACUCUCAAGAUUCAAUUCGGCCACACGCACAGAAUAUGCCCCGCCUCCGCACAACGCACUGUCAACUCGCGGACUCGCAACUGACGCUGGGCGAAUUCUCUGACCGAACGCGCCUUUUUUAAACCGUCACAGUCACUUAAUCCAUCUCCUCACACAGUGGAAACGCUGGAGCUGGCAGGUCGGUGAGGACGGAACACGUUUACAGCUCAUUCAAGUGCCACUGGUCUUGCAGUAUUUCAUCUUUUCCAAACAACCGAGUAAAUUUACAGCUCAUUCAAGUGCCACUGGUCUGUUUUUGGAGAAUUUCAUCUUUAAGGUGCUGUGAGAAAGAGCCAUGUCUCCCGUGCCACCACUGAUGAUGACAUUACAAAACACGUAAUACGGUGGUUCAACUUGGCAGCAGAUAGGGGAAACUCAAGGAGCCGUCCCACUGUCAGCACCCAACAGUAGCGUUUCGGUGUUUCACAGUUAACUUCUGUGUUUUGAAGUGUUCGUUUAACAGUUAAGUAGUAACAGUUGAGAUAAAGUUUACUACUUUAAAUAGUUUUGUUUCUAUUCAUCUUCAAAAAACCCAGUUUCCACACAAAAAAAUAAGCAGUGCAACAUUAAUAAGAAUAAAUGUAUCUUGAGCUACAUUAAAAAAAAGUGUUCUUUUUCAUUAAAUAAAAAAUGUUCUUUGGACAAUUUAUGGUUGCAUUUCAUUUUCUGUAAUACCUAUUAAUUGUUUACAUAAAUAAUUGUUACUGGCUAAAAUGGCUGAAUUUUGAUUUACAAGUUUUGAAUGAUUUCAUCAUGUUUUAUUAAUAAAGGCAGGCAUAUUAAAUAUUAUAGAGCAAUCCAGUCUAUCCAAUGUCGGUCCAUUCGAUUUGAAAUAUUUCUUUAGCUAGUUUUGGCCAGAAUACUAGUUUUAAAUGAGGGAUCUGAAAGGUAUCCUGACAGAAUGACCAGAUCGGAUCCCUGGCGGAUCAGCUGCUUUAUAAACGGGUCCAUAUUGGAUCCGUGGCGGAUCAGCUGCUUUAUAAACGGGUCCUGAUCGGAUCCGUGGCGGAUCAGCUGCUUUAUCAGUGGAUACAGGGCGGGUCUGGUCCGGAUCCGCAAUCCUUAUUUGUUCCGGAUCCGCUGCGCUGUGCAAGUGGACUCCGUUCCGGACCCGUUUUGCGCAUCCGUUCCGGAGCUUGUGACACUCCCGGGGCGGAUCCGUUCCGGAGUCAGUUUGCUAUCUGGGCAUUCUCAUAAAUGUCGAGCUCACAUUAUGUAACAGCUUUAUUGCUUUUAUCUCACGCAACAGCAUCAAAUCUACAUUUUUCAAAACAUCCAAACAAAGUG